GUUAUUAUGUGAGAUGGCUUACUACAUAACAGGUGUACUGUGACCUCAUAAUCUCUAGACCUACUAAUUCAUCAUUACACCAAUCACACUGGAGUAAGCCAACAGCAUCUCUGCAUGUUGUAGCCUGUGAGGAGACUGCUCAGGAGGUUGGACCCAUCUCAGUCCUCUCUGAGCAUCACACUGGCUCCAUAGGGGAAGGGGCAGCAGCCAGGUCACAUCUAAGCAGGGUUCAAGAGCAUCAUGAAAGUCCAGGGAUCUAGAUCCUGCUGUGUUCAGAAGAGCUUGAUCCAACAAGAGUGCCCCAUACAGUCAGGGUUGAUAUAGAAACAACCAUAGGAGAGAGGAUUGGGAAAUGACCACAGAAGGAUGGCUGUAGAGAACUCACUGUUGAAGGGAUACAAGAUCCAAGAGCAGCGAUUUCUGCACAUACUUUGGUCAAGAGAAGCCAGCCCUACAUUUUGCAAGAUGCAAUUCAGAGCUCGGAUUCUGAGGCCACCGAGUUGUGUUCUAAAAGCCACCUGAAGAAUGUCCAAGUUGCUUCCUCAGAAUCAGGAGGAGGGACAGGAGAACAAGAAAGAGCAGCAAUACACCCUAGAGGGUGUACUAGCUACCUGCAUGGAGGGAGAGUGGCCCAGCUCCAGACUCACAGGUCACUCCACACUGAUAACCAAGGUCCAGGCCUUAAGGCACAGGUGUAAUCUGUGCUGUAUUGUGGCCCUUCCUGAUAGAAACAGGGUUCCUGAGAGCACAACACAGUCUGAUUCCCUACAGGUUGGGAUAGAAAGCAGUAGAAGUGUCAGGUAAGGGAGAUGUGACAUCAUUCCUGAAGGAAAGCACCAGGUUUAUCCUGAGCAGACAUUCCCCAGAGCCAGGAGCCAGAUACAAAGCUCCACACAGUACUCUGGAAGUUCUGAGCAAGGCUUGUUGGGAAACUAAGCCAGAAUCCUGGCCCAGGUGAGUCAGGGGCAGUCAUGGAGGACACGACUCAAGAAACCUGUGCUCAUAUCUGCUGGAAUCCAAGUAGCCAGAAGGACCUCUUGAGAGGUUAAAGUCGUUUCUCUCCCCACAUCAGCCCUGCAAGUUAUGAUGUGUCUGGGGUCCCAACCCCAUCACGUUGUAUUCCUUUGAGGGCAGCUUUCCAUGUUUUGGGCCGGCCCUGCUACCUUCUCAGGAACUGCUGUAUUAGGAGGGCGCCAGUUCUCCAUGUCCUCUCCUGUACGUUGUCCUGAGUCCAAGUGCAGGUCACCAAUAGUUUCUCAUUAUGUCCUGGUUUAUGGCUCCAGAGUGCGAGAUACAGAGAUACAAUGUAAGCCUGGGACUGAACCGUAGCCCAUGUGUAAUGAAAUACACUUGUAUUUCCGCAUAAGCACAGGAAGUAAAGACCAUAAGGGAAUAGGUCUAUGUUAUUGAACAGUCAGUGGUGGUUUUUGUGGCAGUACAUUAGGGACAGCCCAAGGGCAUUAUAUGUCUACAGUUCAAAAGCAGAUCAAAGACCAGAGAAGUGAGGUAUUAAUAAUCAUUAGGAUUGCACAGGAAUGCACAUCAGAAGGCUGGAGUCCCUGAAGCCUACACCAUCCUGCGUGAGCAGAUGCCCGUCUCAUUUUGACUCAGAGUCUGUCCCUCUGCUUGUCUUCUACAAGCCAUGUGGCUGUACCUGCUGGCACUGGUGGGCCUGUGGAACCUCCUGCGCUUGUUCAGGGAGAGGAAGGUGGUGAGCCAUCUCC
rnacentral:sRNA from 1 species